rnacentral:rRNA from 1 species
GCAAAAGCUCAAAUUUGAAACCUUCGGGAUUGUAAUUUGAAGAUUUGGCAUUGGAGAAAGCUAACCCAAGUUGCUUGGAAUAGUACGUCAUAGAGGGUGACAACCCCGUCUGGCUAACCGUUCUCCAUGUAUUGCCUUAUCAAAGAGUCGAGUUGUUUGGGAAUGCAGCUCAAAGUGGGUGGUAAACUCCAUCUAAAGCUAAAUACUGGUGAGAGACCGAUAGCGAACAAGUACUGUGAAGGAAAGGUGAAAAGAACUUUGAAAAGAGAGUGAAAUAGUAUGUGAAAUUGUUGAUAGGGAAGGAAAUGAGUGGAGAGUGGUUGAGGUUUCAGCUUGCCUUUGGGCAGGUGUAUUGCCAACGCCGAGUCAUUGACAGCGAGACGGCGGUU